AACAUUCUAUUUCUAUUCUCUCUCAUAGAUUGAUUGAAUUCUUUUGUUGAUCAAAGCUCUCUCUAAGUUUCUAUUUCUAUUCUCUCAAUAGUUUCUAUUUCGCUCGCUAUUUCGAUCAAAGCUGAUCUCACUUUAUCUUUCUAUUCUCUCAAUAGAUUGAUUCAUUGAUUGAUUUCGCUCGUUGUUUCUUUUGUUCAUUGAUUUCGCCCUAAUCAAAUCUCCCUCUCACUUUCCUUACCAACCGCUCCAUGGAUUCACCGCCGUGUACUCCUCCGAUCACCACACCUCGUACUCCAAUUUCGCCAUCCACACCUCGUACUCCGAUCACCACUCCUCCUCGUACUCCGAUUUCUCCAUCCACACCUCGUACUCCGCCGCUUUCAUCAUCGUCCCUGGCGGUGGUAGUAACUCCUUCACCUCCUCGUGCACCGAUGAAGCAAGGAAAGAUAUAUUCUACCCCGAUGCUACACUUGAUGGAUAAAAUCAUUCAAGAGGGAGAAUUGUUGUUGGUUGAGUAUCGAAGGAAUCAGAACACCGCUGAAGCCAGGGAAAACGAAAGAAAAAGAAAAAUACGUAUUUUGAUGUCACUUCGAUGAUGAUUCCUUUCUAUAUGAAAAUGGGUGAGUGAAAAGGUAAGAGGUUUAUUAUGAAAUUGUGAAAUUGAUCUGUUAGAGAUUUAUUAUGAAAAGGUAAGAGGUUUAUUAUGAAAAGGUAAAAGGUAGGUUAUGUUAUUUUCUUUAAAAAUAUUAUUUUGAAUCCAUAAUCUGUUAGGAGUGUCUUUGCAGGUACAUCAACAUUCCUAUGCUUGUAAGUAAGAUAUUAAUUUGUUUUUGCCUCUUUUGAUUUAGUUUUUACUUUUUAUAGUAUGGAAAAAUGGUAAGGAAAAGGGUAAGAAUUUCCAUUUUUUUUCCAUUGCUAUUUUGUUAUUAUGAAAUUCUGAUGUUCUGAGGUAGGUAGGUGUUGCUAGUCAGUGUUGAACCAAAACAGGAGAAAAAGGGUUGCUACUCAAUCAGGUAAAGUAUGUGUUUUAUUUAGUAUGUGUUUUUUUAGUAGAAGUAGAAGUUACUAACUAUGAUUGGUUUUAUUUUCCUUUUACACAAACUUGCCAUACAAGUCAGUGUUUCCAUUAAAUAAAUAGACUUUAUCCAGAAUUCCUAAAUAAACUUGCCAUACAUCGCUUACAUAUGUUCUUGCUUCAAUAUCACAUACCUAUCCCUUGUUUGUCAAACCACUGUUCUCAAUGGUAUUUCUUUCUUCCUCAAUUAAAAUUUAAUUAUUUUCUCUCAACAUAUUGUAUAAUCAUGUUGGCAAUAUCCAGAAGUAACUAAAAAUAGAAUGACAUUUAGUAUAUCUGUUGUUGAGUAGGACUUCCUUAAUCUGUGUUGUUUAUUUUCCUUUUCAAGCAACUUACCACUUAUAACAACGUUUAUUGCUAAUUCGGUAUUUAGUUUUAGCCUAGAAAAAAGUAGCUCUUACUCUUAAUAACGAAUAGUUUUCUCUCCUCUACAAGAUUAAUGCAUGUAUGUAACCUUUUCUUGAAAUAGGAUGAGGCUGAUUCCUUGUUAUUUACUAAUUUUUCGAUGAUACUAACAUUCUGAUGGAAUCAGGUACAUGUGUGACUGGUUCUGGUCAUGCAGAGAAUGUUAAACAUGUAUCCUUAAAAGUGUGCUUCAGUUCAGCAAAUGCAGGUUUGGGUAAGUGGUUGGUGCUUUAUCAUGACGGUUGAUGCUUAUGCCUUUAUCACUUAAAUGAGCCUGAGGUGGCAAAAUGUGAAAAAGGGUUGGCAUUAUUGCGGCUGAGCUGGAUGGUGGCCAGACAAAGUGGAGGAUGCUGAGUGCGAUUUUAAUGGAUAUAUGUUUUCUAUGAGGAAUUAUGCAGGAAAUGAAGAGUCAUCUGUUGCUUUGUUCACCAAAGGUGACGGGUGCUAAGUGGGAAUUCUGUCAAGAUUUUAUGUCUUGACUAUGUUUGGAUUUGUUGCUAUCACGGAGGCAGGGCAGGUAUGAAUGUUGAAUCAACGAGGCUCGUUCAAAAUUAUAGAAAGGUGGUAUGGUGCUUUUUGGUGAUUGUUUUGUUUUGAACUGUUUUGGUCGAGGAAUUUUAUCUUGCAGUACAUGUACAUUAUACUGUUUUUGGUUGCAGAAGGAUUUCAUAUCAGGUAUGAGAGAGCAGAAUAGUGGAAAGAAGGAGCUUUGCUGGCAAAGUUACAUAUUUGUGGUAGCAACAAAUGGAGGAAGAAUAGUGGAAAGAAGAACUAUCGAGAUCCGGAAGGCGACAAUACCGAUUCUAGCUUGAAAUCAGAUUGUCCACCAUGUCAUCAUUGUGGAAGAAAAGGUAAUGCUCCUCUAAGAUCUUGGAUAAGGCCAGAUGUGAAGUGUAACAAAUACAACCGCUUGGGUCAUAUUUCAAAGAUCUACAAAUUCCAACUGGAAAAGAAGCAAGAAGAAACUCAGAUUGUAGAUCAAGAUUAUCAACACAGGUGAAAGUUGGUUAAUUGAUAAUGGAUGCACUAAUCACAUGCCAUAUGAUAUUGAGCUUUUCAAAGAUUUCAACAAGGAUUCUGUUUCAAAAGUUAAGAUUGGUAAUGGUUAAUUUGUUGAUGUCAAAUGAAGAGGAUCAAUUGUAGCACAGUUGCUUGAAAAGGGGUUCAUACUUAUCUUUGAGAAUUGUUCAGAAUACCAAUGUAGGUUAAAAGUUUUUCUUUGGGCUUUUUGCAAUGUAAGGAAGCUGCUGUUGUAAAAUCAAUUUCUGAUACUGAAUUUUGUACUAUACUUGGAUAAAAACAAUCUAGCAGAAGGUAUACUAGCAUUGGAGAAAAACAUGACUAAUUUUGCUCCUCACCAGAUUGUUAUGUUCACGAUCAGAGCAAUAGGUAGAUUGCAGUUGAUACAUACAGAUCUUAGAGGAUCUUUGUCAGAAGCAUCAUUGGAUGGACCAUAUAUUACAUACAGAUCUUAGAGGAUCUUUGUCAGAAGGAUCUUUGUAAAUUCAAAAGAUGGGUUGAAAAUCAGAGUGAAUGCAAAAUUUAAAUGUUAAGAUCAGAUAAUGAAGGUCAAUGCACCUCAGAAAAAUUCAAUAAGCUUUAUGAGGAGGCUGGAAACAUUAUGGUGCGUGUGCUGGUGAAAGGAAGUAUAGGACUGUGAUGGAAAUGGUUAGCUGCUUGCUAUAUGAGAAAAAUAUCUCUUCAGAAGUUUUGGGCAGAAGCUGCAACAAGUCUGAUGAAAAACUCCAUUUGAAGGAUGGUGUUUGGCUGUGUUUGCUUCAGUCAUGUGACACUAGUACAUCUGAUAAGUUUUAUAAAAGGUUUGAGGCUGAAAUAUUCUUAGGCUACCACAAUGUCUCUAUAGCCUAUAGAACCCUUUCAGCCAAAGUCAGAAAAAAUCUUCAUAAGUAGAAAUGUUCGUUUUGAGGAGGAGCAAGAAUGCAACUGGGAAGAAGAAAAACCAUGCAAGUAAAAUGGCAAAAAAUUGAAGAAUCUCCAGAAUUACUAUUUCAGGAAGAUCACGUCUCUCCACUAGAUCAUGAGAACAUUGAUGAUGCACAAGUACAAGAUUACUUGUUGAUAUUUAUGAUAGGUGCAGUUUUGCUGAUAUUCUUGGUGCUAAAAAAAGCAGGAAAUUGUUGCUCAGUCCGCCGCAGAGGUUGAAUUCAUAGCCAAUUUAGGAAGUUGUUAAAAGAUGUUCAAGAGGAGCAGAGGCAAAGUACUAAGAAUCUAGUGUUUCAUGGAAAGACCCUGAAUUUAAUGUGAAGUUGUACUUUCUGAGGAUGAAAUCUCAAAUCUCGUUACAAUCUUGGAAUAAAGAUCAGAGUAGAUAUUUUUACAAAGCCGCUUUCUAAAAGAAAGUUUGAAGUCUUGCAUAAAGAUCAGAGUCUACAGCUAUUAAAGCAAGGAGUAGUAUUGAGAUAAUGCUUCAACAUAUAUCCUCAUUGAUAAGAUCUAGAAACAGUUUGUUGGUCUUAUCUUUUAAUUAAAUUAGGAUGCUUUCUGUUCUGUUUUAGUAGAUUUAGUAUUUUGUUAGUGAGAGGUUUAAAUGUUAUUUAUUUAUUUUUUUUGGUAAGAAAUUAUAUUUUAGGAUAUUUAUCUGUAAUCAAUUUUUGUAUUUAAAGAAGCUUCAGAUCAAUUUUAGUAGAGUUUUUUUGUCUUAAUGUCCUGUUUGGAUCAUUGCUUAAAGGACUUAUCAGUGCUUCUCUUUUAGAUCAAGCACGGAUGCUUGUUAAAAAUAUAGUGUUUGGUUGAAUUUUCUUUAUCUGCUGUGACUUUACAAAAAGAUUUGAGAAGAACUUAUUAUGAUCUUAAACAGAAAACGUCUCUCCUUUCAAACUAAAAAAUGAAUUUACUAAAUUUGAAAGAAUGUCCCAUUCCAAUCCUAUCUGAAUCGUGUUCCCUUGCAGACAGACAGACUGAAGUUCGACUGUUACUAUUCCUUUUGCAAUUCUGCUCACUCUCCGGUAUGACUGAAUUCACUAAUUUGUUUUUAUUAGUUUCAUUUUUUGGUGACUUAAUUGUUUGUGUAUAUACUCAGGAUUGUGCUUCUCUGGAUGUUGUCUUGAGGCAUAAGGGGGAAUUGAAUGCUCUUGUUUUUAUUUUUCAAACACUUGAUGCAUGAUGUUAGAAUAUGAAACAAUCGAUUUCUUUGGAGCAGAUACUAGUACUUGGUCUUUAACAAUCACUUGAUGCAUGAUGUUAGAAUAGGAAUUGAAUGUUCUGAAAAGUUCCAUUUUGCAUGAUUUCUCUUUGAGUUUUGAUCCAUUGAGGUAAGGUUAGUAAUGUUUUUGUCUAAUUUUAUCGGACACUUUUACCAUUAAUUAGUAAUUUACAUGUAUCUUCAAUAAUUAGAUGGACUUUUUUUUUAAUUGAGUUUAACUUUAAUGUUUGCAAGUCCUGGAAGUCAGAGCAAUGGGGAUACAAGUAUUUCAGAAACAAAUGAAUUCUGAAUUUGAAUUGUUUGGAACUGAUGAGGUGCUGCUCAGCAUGAUAAUUUUACUACCAAUGAUGCCCUGAUGAUGGCAGAUUCUGCAACUGAGAAUCACACUGUCGAAAGUUUAGAUACUUAUUUCAUAAGUUAGUUUGUUAUUGAGGAAAAAUCAAUUAUUGAAACUCAGGACUAAUCGACCCAAAAAGUGGUCAAGCCACUGAAAGGAAGAUGAUGAAAUUAAACCUGUUAAUUCAAUUGCAAGUUCAAACCACUUGAUUGUGUUAUGGUGAUUUGAGUUAGAUUGAUUCUCAAUGUCAGAAUUCAUAACUAAGAUCAAUUACCAACUACAUGGUGUCUGGAGCAAUGGGAGCUCCAUUAUUAUUAUUAUUAUUAUUGUACCCCGAUGCUACAGUUGAUGGAUAAAAUCAUUCAAGAGGGAGAAUUGUUGUUGCUUGAGUAUCGAAGGAAUCAGAACACUGCUGAAGCCAGGGAAAACGAAAGAAAAAGAAAAAUACGUAUUUUGAUGUCACUUCGAUGAUCAUUCCUUUCUAUAUGAAAAUGGGUAACUGAAAAGGUAAGAGCUUUAUUAUGAAAUUGUGAAAUUAGUCUGUUAGAGGUAGGUUAUGUUAUUUUCUGUUACGUGAGUGUCUUUGCAGGUACAUCAACAUUCCUAUUCUUGUCAGUAAGAUAUUAAUUUCUUUUUGCCUCUUUUGAUUUAGUUUUUACUUUUUAUAGUAUGGAAAAAUGGUAAGGAAAAGGGUAAGAAAUUCCAUUUUUUUCCAUUGCUAUUUUGUUAUUAUGAAAUUGUGAUGUUCUGAGGUAGGUAGGUAUUGCUAGUCAAUGCUGAACCAAAACAGGAGAAAAAGGGUUGCUACUCAAUCAGGUAAAGUAUGUGUUUUUUUAGUAGAAGUAGAACUUCCUAACUAUGAUUGGUUUUAUUUUCCUUUUUCACAAACUUGCCAUACAAGUCAGUGUUUCCAUUAAAUAAAUAGACUUAUCCUGAAUUCCUGAUUUAUUAUUUAAGUUCUCAAUGGGAUACAUUGCUUACAUAUGUUCUUGCUUCAGUAUCACAUCCCUAUCCCUUGUUUGUCAAACCAGUGUUCUCAAUGGUAUUUAUUUCUUCCUCAAUUAAAAUUUAAUUAUUUUCUCUCAACAUAUUAUAUAAAUUCUUUCUAUGUUUUUUGUCCUUGUUUGUAUAAUCAUGUUGGCAAUAUCCAGAAGUAACUAAAAAUAGAAUGACAUUUAGUAUAUCUGUUGUUGAGUAGGACUUCCUUAAUCUGUGUUGUUUAUUUUCCUUUUCAAGCAACUUACCACUUAUAACAACGUUUAUUGCUAAUUCGGUAUUUAGUUUUAGCCUAGAAAAAAGUAACUCUUACUCUUAAUAACGAAUAGUUUUCUCUCCUCUACAAGAUUAAUGCAUGUAUGUAACCUUUUCUUGAAAUAGGAUGAGGCUGAUUCCUUGUUAUUUACUAAUUUUUCGAUGAUACUAACAUUCUGAUGGAAUCAGGUACAUGUGUGACUGGUUCUGGUCAUGCAGAGAAUAUUAAACAUGUAUCCUUAAAAGUGUGCUUCAGUUCAGCAAAUGCAGGUUUGGGUAAGUGGUUGGUGCUUUAUCAUGACGGUUGAUGCUUAUGCCUUUAUCACUUAAAUGAGCCUGAGGUGGCAAAAUGUGAAAAAAGGUUGGCAUUAUUGCGGCUGAGCUGGAUGGUGGCCAGACAAAGUGGAGGAUGCUGAGUGCGAUUUUAAUGGAUAUAUGUUUUCUAUGAGGAAUUAUGCAGGAAAUGAAGAGUCAUCUGUUGCUUUGUUCACCAAAGGUGACGGGUGCUAAGUGGGAAUUCUGUCAAGAUUUUAUGUCUUGACUAUGUUUGGAUUUGUUGCUAUCACGGAGGCAGGGCAAGUUUGAAUGUUGAAUCGACGAGGCUCGUUCAAAAUUAUAGAGAGGUGGUAUGGAAGGAGAGAAGUAGUUGUAAGGAAAAAUUGCACAAAAAAACAAAAUAGAUGUUGGCUGCUUUGACAGCAUUACUAGAUGGGGGAUCAUGGUCCGGAACCAUGUAGGAGCUAUCAGUUGCUACCAAUCCAUAAAGAAUCAGAGUACAUCCAACCAUAGUGGAUGCCAUGGGAAUUAGUUGAGGUCUCUGCUGGGCCAAGGACCAGGGUAUUUGAAUUGUCUCUAGGGUUAAAAACCUUGCUUGAAAUAGCUGUUUUGGUGUAAUACAUCGGGUUAGUUGAUUGAAAUUUCUGUUUGUUCUUAUUUAAGCAAGUAAAACUGAAAGAGGGUUAGGAAUUGAAUGCUCUUGUUUUUAUUUUUCAAACACUUGAUGCAUGAUGUUAGAAUAGGAAACAAUCGCUUUCUUUGGAGCAGAUACUAGUACUUGGUCUUUAACAAUCACCUGAUGCACGAUGUUAGAAUAGAAAUUGAAUGUUCUGAAAAGUUCCAUUUUUCAGGAUUUCUCUUUUGAUUUUGGAUCCAUUGAGGUAAUGUUAGUAAUUAAUGUUUAUGUCUAAUUUUAUCGGACACUUUUAUCAUUAAUUAGUAUUUUACAUGUAUCUUCAACGGUUAGAUGGACUUUUUUUAAUUGAGUUUAAUUUUAAUGUUUGUAAGUCAUGGAAGUCAGAGCAAUGUGUUUUAGAAACAAAUGAGUUCUGAAUUUGAAUUGCUUGGAACUGAUGAAAUGCUACCUAUUCUGACGAUGGCAGCUUCUGCAACUGAUAAUCACACUGUCGAAAGUUUUGAUACUUAUUUCAUAUUUCAUUAGUUAGUCUGUUAUUGAGGAAAAACCAACAAUUGAAACUCAGGACUAAUCAAUCCAAAAAGUGGUCAAGCCAUUGAAAGGAAGAUGAUGAGAUUAAACCUGUUAAUUCAAUUGCAAGUUCAAACCACUUGAUUGUGUUAUGGUGAUUUGAGUUAGAACAAUAUUGUUAUGCACUAAUUUUGCUUUCCAGACCUAAUGUUCUAGUCUAGAACAAUAUUGUUAUGCAUUCUCUUUUUAUUUCUGUUUUGUAAUAAUCUCAUAAUACUAAAUAUCAUCGUUGAAUGAAGUCUUGUUUAUGUCCUUCAUCUCAAUUGUUAGACAAUUCAAGCUAUCACAAAUACUUCAUCAGUUGUACUUAUGCACACCCUUAACUGUUUGUAUAUGAUGUGCAGAUAAGUAUGAUGUUGUAUAAGUAGCUGCAUAAGUAUGGACCAAAUAUGAGGUAUGUCAAACUGUGAUUUUCAAAGUAGUACUUGCACAUAUAUCUGAUGGACUCUUAUUUCAAAAACAAAGAACCAGAAGCAGGAUUCACAGUCACAACAUUCACUGUACUAGACCUCUAUUAGGUAGUGUAUGUUUUAGUAUUUUCAUUGGUGUUCCGCUUAUAUACGGCGCCAUUGUUUGUAGCUCCGUUUUUUGCCGGUCUUUGUUCUUCUUGUACAGAGAUCUGGAUAUUUAUAAUAAUAUAUUUGCCGUUAAAAAAAAAAAACAUUCACUGUACUUAGCAAAUGAAGUUUUCUUCGGUCUUUUCUUCUCCAUCGUGUACUUUCUUCUACACCGGCGGCAUGAGAAGAUCAAAACCUCCACAAAUUUCCACGUCCUCACAAUCUCCGAGAUUGUCGCUCUAGCUUCCCUCAUCGCUUCUGUUAUCUACCUUAUGGCUUUCUUCAGCAUUGCAUUUAUUCUUCAUUAUGAUGAAGAAGAUGAUGCUGACGUAACAGAAACUACCGGAGUCGUGUCGAAGCUACCUCUGUUAGACUGUUACAACCUAAAAUCUCUAUCCAUAAAGUUGCUCUGGUGCGGUGCCUGCACUGCUUUCAUAUAAGAUGAGGAGGUUGUCCGAGAGGUGGUAUCGGGAUCAAUUCCGUCUUACUCUCUUAAAUCAAAGCUUGGAGAUUGCGUGAUUCGGAACCAAGCGGUGGAGAUUAUUGGCUACAGGUAAAGAUCCAGCUCAGAAUGUCGAGAGUUCUCAUUAUAUGACGGUGAUGGAAGCUGUGAAUGAUGGGAAGGUCCUUCAUAUAUCUGUGACUAUGCCUUCCAUUGAGGUGGGCACAGUUAGAGGGGCACACAACUUGCAUCACAAUCAGCUUGUUUGAAUUUACUUGGUGUUAAGGGUGCUAGUAAAGAGACUCCUGGAGCAAAUUCAAGGCAACUGGCGACAAUAGUAGCUGCGUUAGUCCUUGCCGGAGAGCUCUCACUCAUGUCUGCAAUUGCUGCUUGACAACUUGUUAAGAGCCACAUGAAAUACAUCAGAUCGCCUAAAGAUGUCACUAAAGUUUCUUCAUGAGUUGGUAGGGACAUAUAUAGCCUGCAAAGAAUACUUCAUUAAGAUAUGGUUUAUGUACAGAAGGAAUUAAAUAAGAUUUGUUCCAUUCCUCUUAUUUGUUUUUCAAAACAAAAUAUCAUUAGUGUUGUAGUAUUUCUCAAUUCUCAUAUAAAGCUCAAAUAUGUGGUACUACUUUAGUCUUUUGAUCUUUGAUU